GAUGAACGCUGGCGGCGUGCUUAACACAUGCAAGUCGAACGAUGAAGCCCAGCUUGCUGGGUGGUUUAGUGGCGAACGGGUGAGUAACACGUGAGUAACCUGCCCUUAACUCUGGGAUAAGCCUGGGAAACUGGGUCUAAUACCGGAUAGGAGCGUCCACCGCAUGGUGGGUGUUGGAAAGAUUUAUCGGUUUUGGAUGGACUCGCGGCCUAUCAGCUUGUUGGUGAGGUAAUGGCUCACCAAGGCGAUGACGGGUAGCCGGCAUGGGAGGGUGACCGGCCACACUGGGACUGCGAGACGGCCCAGACUCCAACGGGAGGCAGCAGUGGGGAAUCUUGCACAAUGGGCGCAAGCCUGAUGCAGCGACGCCGCGUGAGGGAUGACGGCCUUCGGGUUGUAAACCUCUUUCAGUAGGGAAGAAGCGAAAGUGACGGUACCUGAAGAAGAAGCACCGGCUAACUACGUG
rnacentral:rRNA from 1 species